UACAGAGGUCCCGAGCGUUGUUCGGAUUCACUGGGCGUAAAGGGUGCGUAGGUGGUGAGGUAAGUCGGAUGUGAAAGCUCGGAGCUCAACUCCGAAAUGGCAUUGGAAACUACCUUGCUAGAGGGUUUGAGGGGGGACUGGAAUACUUGGUGUAGCAGUGAAAUGCGUAGAUAUCAAGUGGAACACCAGUGGCGAAGGCGAGUCCCUGGAAAACUCCUGACACUGAGGCACGAAAGCUAGGGGAGCAAACAGG
rnacentral:rRNA from 1 species